rnacentral:rRNA from 1 species
UACGUAGGGGGCGAGCGUUUUCCGGAUUUAUUGGGCGUAAAGAGCGUGUAGGCGGUUCGGUAAUUCUUUCGUGAAAUCCUGAGGCUCAACCUCGGGCGUGCGAUGGAUACUGCCGGGCUAGAGGGUGGUAGAGGCGAGUGGAAUUCCCGGUGUAGCGGUGAAAUGCGCAGAUAUCGGGAGGAACACCAGUAGCGAAGGCGGCUCGCUGGGCCACACCUGACGCUGAGACGCGAAAGCUAGGGGAGCGAACAGG